AAAGAACACAUGCAAAACUCCAAAACCUCUCUCUGUUUUAGCUUUUCUUUCUUUCACCGAUUCGAAUUUCAUCUACAGUUCUCCUUCUCUCUCUCAAAUUAGGGUUUAUGCUCUUCUUUUGGUCACUUUGGGACUAAAAUUCGAUCGAUGCUGUUGCUGUUAUCACCGACCGAAAGCUAUGCAAUGAAGCGGGUACCAUCGACUGAAUUACUGAAAUAGUUGCAGGGAAUGGGAAGUUGUUGUUGUUCUUCCAGGAAACCUCAU
rnacentral:misc_RNA from 1 species